rnacentral:rRNA from 1 species
AGUGAACGCUGGCGGUAGGCCUAACACAUGCAAGUCGAACGGCAGCACAGUAAGAGCUUGCUCUUACGGGUGGCGAGUGGCGGACGGGUGAGGAAUACAUCGGAAUCUACUUUUUCGUGGGGGAUAACGUAGGGAAACUUACGCUAAUACCGCAUACGACCUACGGGUGAAAGCAGGGGAUCUUCGGACCUUGCGCGAUUGAAUGGGCCGAUGUCGGAUUAGCUAGUUGGCGGGGUAAAGGCCCACCAAGGCGACGAUCCGUAGCUGGUCUGAGAGGAUGAUCAGCCACACUGGAACUGAGACACGGUCCAGACUCCUACGGGAGGCAGCAGUGGGGAAUAUUGGACAAUGGGCGCAAGCCUGAUCCAGCCAUACCGCGUGGGUGAAGAAGGCCUUCGGGUUGUAAAGCCCUUUUGUUGGGAAAGAAAAGCAGCAGGUUAAUACCCCGCUGUUCUGACGGUACCCAAGGAAUAAGCACCGGCUAACUUCGUG